UCAGGUCGACCUGAAUACCUGAACACAUUUUUUUUUUAAAUAAAUAAUACCUCAUGACUUAUACUUAAUCUAGCUAAGUAAACAACGAGAACUUAUCCAAAAAAUCGAAUGGGUCAUCAAAAUAUCCAAAAUAUACAUCAUCAAUUCAUCAUAGUUCGCAGACCCUUAAUUUGAUGCAACACACUAGAAAAAUAAAUGUCAAAUACAAAAAGAUUAACAAAGCAUAAGCCUAAUGCAGCCUUCAUUUUAUUUCUUCAAGUAUGACCCUUAGUUGAUAUAUGCAUGUGUGAGGACUCCGCAUAGUUAGAACUGAACAACAUCACGACCUUGGGACCAUCCAAACAUCUGGCAGUCUUCUGCUGGAGCACUCGACCAGUCAACCUGUCAUAGGCUACACUCUGUCAAAAGAAAGAAAGAAAGAGAGAUCAGCACAUGGGAAUGCAAAAAAAACAUAUAUCAAGAUUUCAUUUUUGUGUUCUUGACUAGUCCACCUAGUAGCAUAGAAAGAAAAGAGAAUAUUUGACCUUAAUUUAAUGUAUAUCUGACCACAAUAAGUUGAUUUUGUGAGAAAUCAAAGCGACAUUGGCAACAAGCACAAGCCUGCCAUAAGAUGUUGCACACUUUCUUGUAGGCUCCAAGUUAAGUUCGCUACUUGUAAUAGAAAUCUAGAACCAUAAAUGGUACCUAGCUGGCUAGCUACCAGUACACUGAUCAGUAUCAAAACAAUAUAUAAACCUCAUUACCAUACACAUGUAGUUCACAAUAAACUUAUCACCAAUCAAGUAAAGAAUUUGUUAUGAGUUCUAAAACACCUCUUCCCCCUCAUGUUCUUAUGGUUUCUUUUCCUGGACAAGGCCAUGUUAACCCUUUACUUAGGUUAGCCAAACGACUUGGUUCAAAGUGUAUAUUCAUUACCUUUUCCUCUACAAACAAUGUUGGUCAUAUGAUUCAAAAAUCCACAAAUACUGAACCUGGUACACCUACCAAUAUUGACCUUGGUUAGCUUCGUUUCGAGUUUUUUGAUGAUGGUUGGGAGGAUGAUGAUUUACGACAUUUAACUUAGAGAAAAAUCAGCACUUCAGUAUUCAUGUAUGCCAACAUAUAUUCAGAGAACAGAACACAAAUCAUUAGGUGAUAACAUAGUGUUUAAAUAAGAUGGCGAAAGAAAGAAGCAUCAUGUUGUCUACUGGUUAUGCUUUAGUUUUUACAUUUAGUGUUGCAGUGUUGCGAGUUUUCAAUUUAUCGACUUAGCAUUGCAGUUCAAGUUAGAUGCAUAAUCUAGUCUUAAACUCUUAAUUAAACAAAGAAACACAUAAUUGAAAGAAAAAAAAUCCACAGAUUCAAUCAAUUAAUUGUUUGAUUUAUAAUUUUUGAAAACAAACAAACCCUAGCAUUCAAUCAGAGAAUACAAUUGAUGAAUUGUAUUUAUACUUAUUUUAUUCAGUAUUGGAUUGAUAGGUAUUUGAUUGAAGAAUAGCAAGAAAUAAAAUAGAGAAUACAAUUGAUGAAUUGAUUGAAAAAUAAGAAUAGGAAGAAGAAGAAAGCAGAGAUUUGAAUAAGAGCGUACCUUUAACUCUUUAAUGAAGCGGAGAUAUCCUUAGAUUGAAUUCGCUUCAAACUUUCGAUUCAUGGCUGACCGUAAAUAGCUCUUCAGCAAGGAUAUAAAUGUAUUUUUCUGCAGACUGACUCACUUAAGUUCACAACAUCAUACAAGAAGACAUCAACCUACAUGGAGAGUCAGAGGUAUAGUUGGCAAGAUCAAGGAACUUAUUUCAGAAUUUGUAAGUUUUAGAAUGAAACAUGUACUUAGAGAAGCAAACUCAGUUGCGGACAUC
rnacentral:lncRNA from 1 species